CAUUACAAAUCUUUGUGAGCCUGUGUGUCGUGUCAUGUAAGCGGUGCACAUAGUCUGUGUAUCGUGUCAUGUAAGCGGUACACAGAUACUCACUACAUUAGCACAAGGUCGCAAGGCCUUGAUGUUCACGCUUGUUUGUUUGACAGAGUUAGUUGAGAAAUAAAUAAAGACAACUUUUAACAAUGGAUCUCUUGGCUCUUGCAACGAUGAAGAACGCAGUAAAGUGCGAUAUGUAGUGCGAUUUGCAUGAAUCUGUGAGUCAUCUAAUCUUUGAACGCAACUUGCGCCUUUUACGAGGCAUGUUUGUUUGAGUGCCGUAAUCCUCUGCAGCAAUGCGAAUUGACUCUUGUCUUUGUUGACCGAGUUUAAACAGAGCUAGAGGAUGGUCAGUUUGGCCUAGUCCGAGUGCUAAGCAUUCUUGGGUCUGGGCUGGAUUGCUCAUUAAAUCUAUCUUUUUUUUUGGCCUCAAAUCAAGCAAGACUACCCGCUGAACUUAA
rnacentral:rRNA from 1 species